rnacentral:rRNA from 1 species
UACAGAGGGUGCAAGCGUUGUUCGGAAUUAUUGGGCGUAAAGGGCGCGUAGGCGGCACUGUUAGUCAGGCGUGAAAGUCCUGGGCUCAACCUGGGAACUGCGCUUGAUACGGCAGAGCUAGAGGAUGGAAGAGGCUCGCGGAAUUCCCAGUGUAGAGGUGAAAUUCGUAGAUAUUGGGAAGAACACCGGUGGCGAAGGCGGCGGGCUGGUCCAUUACUGACGCUGAGGCGCGACAGCGUGGGGAGCAAACAGG